rnacentral:lncRNA from 1 species
AUGAUUGUCAUCAAAAAGAAAAAUUCAAGACCGGUCUCUGCUCCAGCCCAGCAAAUGAUGUCUUCGUGUUGGUUCCCUCAGAAGCUGAUGGAAAGAGUCCAGCACAGAAUUGUCUCGAAAUCCUUCUCUCCCAAGAAGAUUUCUCUGAGUAACUCUAACCCACUCUCAGGGAGUCUGCUAAGAGUAUGUGCCUUGGAUGAAUGGAAGAAGGUUCCUUCUAUGUAGAUGAGUCAGACAAAAGUGCCCUCUUUUGAGCAGACACAGUCCCUGAGUGCCACGGUCUUGGCAAGUGGACAUCUUUGUAAGAAGAAAAUGGUACUCCUUUUGAAGUAGCUCCUACAAGUGCGCACAGCUCGGGGUCUGAAGUGGGAACUGAACUUCCGCUCUUGCUCACCUCCUCAGCCAGGCAUCUUUAGACAGUGCACGAACUGGACAACAGUACCAUGGCAGCCCUGCUUACUCGGAUCACUCCUUUCCUCUAGAGCUAUCCGGGACUUAUGCGUAGUAGAGUUUUCCAGCGGAGCUUGAUCAGAUAUUGAGUGUGUGCACACUUGGCAGCAGCUCCCCAA